rnacentral:lncRNA from 1 species
AUGAAGUAUAUUUUCUAAAAUCACCUCUUCAGUAAAGGACAGUGCUGGAAUUCAAAUCUGUUCUUUUUGUGAGCAAUAAACCAACUCCAGAAAAUACUUACUCCUUUGAGCCUGGAAGUAGGGAGGAAGGUAUUCUCAUGGAAGAAUCUGUGUAAAAUAAGGAGGAUGAUGCCUUUGUGCAGCCUUGACGAAGGUUUUUGUGUCUAUGGUAUGGAGGAGUUCUAUACUGAGCCAAGGAAGUGGCGAAAAGAGUUUGAAGAGAGAACUGUCUUAGAAAACAGGGAUGGUGCUAGUGCUUUGGAACAUGAGAAUGGCUACUGGUAAAGAGCUGUCAUGUUCCCUGUGCAAAAGAAAUUAAAAUGCCUCUCCAUUAUGGCAUUUGAUGUAAUUGAAAAUGCUUUUCUUCUAGCGUAAGCUCUCUCUUUUUCAAUUGCCUACAGUUUCUGAAGUGAAUCCCACUUUCAACAGGCAGUCUUUCAUGGCCAAGUGCACAUCAAGUUGUAGGUUCCCUCUACUUCUCAGUUUUUAGAAUGUGUAAGUUAUCUAUUUCACUGCUUCACAUGGGAAGAAAAGCACUCACAGAGAUAGUGUAAUAAUAUAGUUCACCAAUCAAUUAUUUAAAUCCAUUCAAUAUUUGAAUAAUUAGGGCCACGUCAUCUUCUGUCAAUGACUUAAAUUUUUUUUAUUUUUAAAUUUAAUUUUAUUUAUUUUUAAAUUUUUUUAUUGAAAUAUAGUUGAUUUAUAAUGUUGUGUUAGUUUCAGGUAUAUAGCAAAGUGAUUCAGUUUAUUUGCAUAUUCUUUUUUUACAUUCUCUUCCUUUAUAGGUUAUGAUAAGAUACUGAGUAUAAUUCCCUGUGCUAUACAGUGGUUCUUGUUAGUUAUUUUCAUAUGGUAGUCUGUAUAUGUUAAUCUCAAACUCCAUAACUUAUCCCUCCCCCUUUAGUAACCAAGAGUUUGCUUUCUAUGUCUGUGGGUCUAUUUCUAUUUUGUAUGUAAGUUCAUUUGUAUUAUUUAAAAAAUACUCCAUUUAUGAGUGAUAUCAUAGGAUAUUUUUCUCUUUCUGACUUACUUCACUUAAUAUGGUAAUCUCUAGAUCCAACUAUGUUGCUAAAAAUGGCAUUAUUUCAUUCUUUUUUAUGACUGAGUAAUAUUCCAUUGUAUAUAUACCACAUCUUCUUUGUCCAUUCGUCUGUCAGUGGGCAUGGGAAUUGCUUCCAUGUCUUAGCUAUCGUGAACAGUGCUGCAAUGAAUAUUGGGGUGCAUGUUUCUUUUUGAACAUCAACUACUCUAAUAUUCUCUUGGCUGAACUCCCUACCUCAAGUCUCGUUCCACUCUGUUAAUCUUCUUUGCAUCUUCACUGCAACCCCAGAGGCUUACAACACAGAGUUAUCCUUCCAAAACAAAGAUUUGAUCAUAUCACUUUGUUGCUUUAGAAAAAAAAUCAGAGGCUUUCUUUGAAUAACACCCACUCUCAAUUUAGAGUGAUACAUAAUUCUUUUUGCAAUCUGGCCCCAAUUCAUCUUUCCAGCUUCAGCAUCUCUACUUUGCAACCAUAGCCUUUACCACAAGGGACAUCAAAGUGAUAGCCAAGUUUUGGAGAAUACUGUGCUGUUGUGCCCAUGUGACAACACACUAGAGCCAGAGAAGUUAAAGAACCUGUCCAAAGACACUGUGUUCUGUCUUGUUUAUGGUUUAUGAAUCUUGUUUCAAUGAAACAAAAUUAAUUUUGAACAUACUAAAUUCUAUGCAUAACUAAUGCUGUCUUGUGUCAUAACUGAGUAUCAAAUAUCAACCAGUCACAUAAAUUAUCCUGUUAUUUCUGUAGAAUUUAUAGUUGCCAUUAGGGUCAAUAGUUUUCCUUCAUCUUAGACACUGAAACAAUGAUAAUAACACCUUCCAUUCAUUUAGGGCUCACCAUGUGCCAUACACUGAGCUAUGCCUUUAAAAUACAUAAAACAUUUAAUGAUCAAUGCAUUCUUUGAAAUAAUGAUUACUAUUUUUAUUUUGUGAUAAGAAUACUGAGGCUGCAAAAGGCUAAGUAAGGUUCUUGAGAUUAAACAGCUAGUAGUGAAGCUGGAACCGAACUCAAGACCAUCUUCCUUUUAGCCUGUGUCCUCCAUGACUAUGCUCUGCCAUCUCCCCUUAAAGCUCCAGAUUAAACUGCUCAAUACUCUGGGUACCACACUCCAUGCCCAAUGCUUGAAUUCCUUGUUUUCUGCACAACUAGUCUUAUCUUGCAAGUCUUAUCUUUCCAUCUAAGUGGCUGACAAGUUUCUUUUUACUCCCAAUUCUCCUAGUUUCUUGGGUACAAAACAACUUCAGAUAGUAGAAGCUCUGGUAUGAGGUGUGGUUUACUUUCCCUGUAGAGAAUGGCUUCAGAGGAAGGGAAUGAGAGUGACCUAAGCCAUGGGUCAAGUGGCCCAGGUGGGGAGAAAAGAUCUUCCAAGGGUGUAACAAUUCAAGGAACAUCUUUCUAUCUGCCCCCCCCCCCCGCCUUUAAUGUACCCAGUUUCCCAAAUAUCUAGCCUCGGGAGCUCUAUGACUGUCUUACCUCCUCUGUGUUCUGAGUGGGCUCUAGGGUAGGUUGCAGCAAAAAACUAAAACAACCACAAAAAACAGAGAUGCUUUCUUUAAUCCAGUGGCUCACUGUUUUGGUCAUCAAUUCAUUUAUGGAUAUGCCAGGCAUUGUUCUAGGUACUGGAUAUACAGAUGUGAACAAAACAAAGAAUUGAUUAUCCUCAUCGACCUUAAAGCUUGCUAAGGGACAACAGACAAUUAACAACAAACAAAUGUAUGUGUAAUGAAGUGGCAAGAGAGUGGUAAUUUCUAUCAAGAGAAAUCAAGGUGGGGAGAGGGGUAGAAAAUGAUGAAGAGUACUGGUGGGUGUGGGGUUGUCAUUUUAGUUCUGGUGGUCAGGGAAGAUCUUGCUGAGGAGGGAUUCACUGAGUAAAGACCUGAAUGGAGUGAAGGGACAAGUCACGAGCAUAGCUGAGGAAAGAACACUCAGGAGUUCCCGCUGUGGCUCAGCAGUAAUGAACCUGACUAGUAUCCAUGAGGAUGUGGGUUUGAUCCCUGGCCUUGUUCAGUGGGUUAAGGAUCCAGUGUUGCUGUGAGCUGUGGUGUAGGUCACAGAUGUGGCUCAGAUCUGGCGUUGCUGUGGCUGUGGUACAGGCUGGCAGAGGCAGCUCCAAUUCAGCCCCUAUCCUGGGAAGUUCUGUAUGCUGCUGGUGUGGCCCUUAAAAAAAAGGAAAAGAAAGAACAUUCUGGCAGAGUGAAUGGCCCUGAGGUGGAAUUGUUUGAGGAAGAUAAGGAGACCAAUGUUUAUGGAUCCUGAUGGAUGAGGAAGAGAAUGGUGGGAUAUGUGGUUUAAGAAGAGCGGGGACCGGUCAGAGCUUGAGAUUCUAUUCCAAAUAUGGUAGAAAGGUCAUUUGAAGAUUUUGAGCAAAAGGGUGAAAUAAUCAGAUUUAUAUUCUAACAGGAUCCAUCUUGCUGCUGAAUGAAGAAUACAUUAUAGAGGGGCAAAGGUGGAAGGAGAGAGACCAAAUAGAUACAGUGGUAGAGAAUCAGAGAAGUCUUCAGAUUCAGGAACUGCUUGAAGGUAGAGCUGACAACCCUUGCUGAUGGGUUGAACAUGGGGUGUUUGGCAUGAGCCAAAGUUUUUAGGAUUGGGUCUAGGCAGCUAAUUGAAUGGAGCUGCCAGGUACCAAGAUGAGGAUUAGAUUUAGCAGAGGAAAUCAAGAGCUUUGUUUUAGAUGUGUGAGAAAUCAUUUGACUUCCAAGUUCUUGGGUGAGAAGAGGCUCCUAGUAGAGAUCACAAGUCUUAACCCUUGCACAGGGACCUGUCAGGGAAAUAGAAGAAAUAAAGUUCCUUCUGAGUAAUCCUGAUAUUCAAGUGACUAAAAAGUAGGUCAGUCAUCUGGGUUUGUCUCAUAUACACUAUGACCUCAGGGCAAGAUAUCUCUCUGUACAAAAAAAUUCCUGAUUGCUAUUAUCUCAAAAUUUCAGAAUUUAAACAAAAGUAAUUUAUUCCAUAAUUAGGGAUAGGAAGCUUAAAAUGCAAAUAUCUUGAGAGAGAAUUGAGUAUUUAUGAGUUCUUAUCAAAGUAUAACAGAGCAUACGAUGGUCCUGAUUGUGUCUUUAAAAGGUCCUGAGUAUUUUUAAAAAGUCAUUGUUGCAACAGAAGAAAGGGUGGGGGAAAAACUGUAAUUGUAAUGUAUACAUGUAAGGAUAACCUGACCCCCUUGCUGUACAGUGGGGAAAAAAAAAAAGUCAUUGUCAAGAGAAAGGAUAUAUAUAAAGAAAGCAAAGAUUUCACAGUCUUGCCAAGGAAUACCCUAUUUUUUUCAUCUUUUUUUUUUUUUUGUCUUUUUGCCUUUUCUAGGGCCACUCCUGCAGCAUAUGGAGGUUCCCAAGCUAGGGGUCUAAUCGGAGCUGCAACCACCAGCCUACACCACAGCCACAGCAACACAGGAUCUGAGCCUCAUCUGUGACCUACACCACAGCUCAUGGCAAUGCUGGAUCCUUAACCCACUGAGUGAGGCCAGGGAUCGAACCCACGACCUCAUGGUUUCUAUCUGGAUUUGUUUCUGCUGUGCCACGACAGGAACUCCAGAAGUGUGAAUAUCUUGAAGGAUUAUCUAGGUUUAUACCUAAAUGGAGAGUAUCCACCUAAAUGUUUUCUUUCCCCUUUUAGCAUUUUUUUUUAACUUUUUACUUAACCCUUAAUCUCUCCCCCAAAGUGUUCUUCAACUGGAAGGUCAGUGGCAUGAUAGGGACUUGUUGCCUCUUUUCUAGGGCUAUCAUUCUGGAGAAUUCUACUAACUGUGCAAUUUCCAUUUCAUGUCCCACUGUCAUUUUCCAACAGCGUCCUGGGGGAGGGGUACCACAUCUAACACCAGAAAGGAUUUAAGGCAGCUUUUCCAUUAUUUUUUUUCUCUGAUUAUCAGUGAUAGAUGCUUAUUGCAAAAAGAAAUUUAACAAAAAUUUUAAAAAAUAACAAAAAACGAAAACUCUUCCUAACUAGAAGCAACUCCAACACCAUUGUAAUAUAUUUCUUUCCAGUGUUUUAUUCAUUUUGUUCUUUCAUAAUCGAGAUCAUUAAUGUACAUGCAACUUUGCAUCCUGCUGUUUAUGCUCACAUUAAGACAUACAUAUUUGUCAGUGUCAUUGCAUUUUUUUUUCUUUUUUGUCUUUUAAGGGCUGCACCAUGGCAUAUAGAAUUUCCCAGGAUAGUGGGUCAAAUUGGCGCUGCAGCUGCUGGCCUACACCAUAGCCAUGGGUAACUCGGGAUCUGAGCUGCAUCCAUGACCUACACCUCAGUUCACGGCAACACAGGAUCCUUAAGCCACUGAACGAGGCCAGGGAUCAAACCCACAUCCUCAUGGAUACUAGUCGGGUUCAUUACAGCUGAGCCACAAUGGGAAUUCUGUGUCAUUGCAUUUUUUAUGGCUUACAUAAUCAUCGAUAGUAUAGCUGCACCACGGUUUAGUCAAGGUAGUUUCUGAUUAUAUACAAUUACAGAUAACACUGAUAAACAGCUUUGUGCAUAAAUCUUUUUUAUAUAUAUAAUGAUUUUUAUUUUUUUCCAUUGUAGCUGAUUUACAGUGCUCUGUCAAUUUUCUACUAUACAGCAAGGUGACCCAGUUACACAUACAUGUAUACAUUGUUUUUUCUCCCAUUAUCAUGCUCCAUCAUAAGUGACCAGACAUAGUUCCCAGUGGCUUUGUGCAUAAAUCUUUGUCCUUCUUUUGGAUGAGGGAUUGGUGAAUUAAAGGGUAUACAUAUUUUUUUAAAGCGUCUGAUAGUCACUGCUACACUGAUUUCCAGAAAGGUUGGUAUCAAGUUACACUUGGGGGGGACGUGGGGGAGGCCUCUUAGAACUAAUGGAGUUGUAGAAAAUAUUUGAUAGCAUUUUUUCUUUUUAAAAUAGUAAUUCUGUUUAGUUUGAACACACACACACAGAGGGGAAAUGGCUGUGUGUUGCUAUAUACUAAUUAUUAUUUGCUCUGCUUCAUGGUGGUAACAUGGUACUAACUCAACAGUAGAUUAGUAUUAGCCUAUGUGGUGGCUAAUACAAGUGUUACAAAGUAUGGAGAAUAGCAGAUGCACUUGUGCAGUGAAACCCAGGAAAUUCUCCUUUAAUGGAGGUCAGAUGUUCAUUGGAUAUUGAGGGAGUCGGGUGAUGAGGAAAGGAAAGAUCACAGAAGGCAGUCAGGGAGAGGGAUGGAGUGGGAAGGAGGUGGCCCUUGCCCCGGGGAGUUGCCUUCUACUCGUUUUUGAUGUGCCUGUGAACAUUUUUAUUGUGGUAAAAUAUAUAUAACAAAAAUAUCCAUUUAAACAAUUUUAAGUGUGCAGUUCAACAGCAUUAAGUGCAUUCACAGUGUUGGCCAUCUAUCACUGCUAUUAACAAACUUUUUCCAUCACUCCAGAAAGAAAUUCUAUUAACCAUUAUACUAUAAGUUCCUAUCCCCCAGGCCCUGACCACCAGUAAUAAUCUACUUUUUAUUUCUAUGAAUUUGCCUAUUCUAGAUAUUUCAUAUGAGUGAAAUCUUACAAUGUUUUUCUUUUUAUGUCUGGCUCAUUUCGCUUAAUAUACUGUUUCCAUGUACUUCAUUUCUUUUUAUGGCUGAAUACUACUCUGUCAUUUGUAUAUACCACAUUUUGUUCACACAUUUAUCUGUUGGUGGACGCUGGGUUAUUUCCAUCUUUGGGCUAUUAUGGAUUACACUACAGUGAACACUGGUGUGCCAGUAUGUGAUUCAGUCCCUGUUUACAAUUCUUUUGAAUUAUACCUGGAAGCACAAAUGCUAGGUCAACUCUUACAGAGCAACUCUUACAGAGUCCUAGACACUGAAGGAAAAGCCCCUCUUAAAAAGGGGACCUCUUAAAGUAUUAAAAUUCUUAUGUCAGAUUUUCCAUACCCUACAAUAUAUAUAUAUGACAAUACAUCUCGGUCAUUAGGAGAAAGAGGAGAGGAGAAGAAGUUGAAUUAGAAAUCAUACAUAGGGAGUUCUCUUGUGGCACAGUGGGUUAAGGGUCUAGUGUUGUCUCUGUAGUGGCUUGGUUCCCUGCUGUGGCGUGGGUUCCAUCCCUGGCCCAGGAAUUUCCACAUGCUAUGGGUGUAACCAAAAAAAGAAAGAAAGAAAAAGAAAGAAA